UGGGGAAUAUUGCACAAUGGGGGAAACCCUGAUGCAGCCAUGCCGCGUGUGUGAAGAAGGCCUUCGGGUUGUAAAGCACUUUCAGCGAGGAGGAAAGGGGAAUAGCUAAUACCUAUUCUCUGUGACGUUACUCGCAGAAGAAGCACCGGCUAACUCCGUGCCAGCAGCCGCGGUAAUACGGAGGGUGCAAGCGUUAAUCGGAAUUACUGGGCGUAAAGCGCACGCAGGCGGUUAUAUAAGUCAGAUGUGAAAGCCCCGGGCUCAACCUGGGAACUGCAUUUGAAACUGUGUAACUAGAGUCUUGUAGAGGGGGGUAGAAUUCCAGGUGUAGCGGUGAAAUGCGUAGAGAUCUGGAGGAAUACCGGUGGCGAAGGCGGCCCCCUGGACAAAGACUGACGCUCAGGUGCGAAAGCGUGGGGAGCAAACA
rnacentral:rRNA from 1 species